rfam:Picea glauca, whole genome shotgun sequence.
ACAUGCCUAUAACAUAGCGUUAUCGCACUGGAUCCCAUUAGAACUCCACAGUUAAGCACACUCAGGCUAGAGUAAUACUGGGAUGGGUGACCGCCCGGGAAGUCCUAGUAUUUUACAUGCC